AUGUCCUUUACAAAACAACAGCGCACUGAUUGGCUUGAACACACCGAAGGGCACUCGCGGGCCGAUGCAGAUCGCCGGUCCUGGUCUAGAUUAUGGGGUGCCGCAGUUCCCUCAAAAGUACGGGUCUUCGCCUGGAGGUUGGCCCAAAGCUCGAUCCCAACCGGAGAGGUCCGAAAACACUGAAGUAUGGUUGACUCAGCGGAGUGCGCUAUCUGUCACGCGGCGGUCGAUACAUGGCGUCAUUCCCUCUUUGACUGCCGCAUGGCUCGCUGCGUCUGGGCCCUCACUGAUGAGGAUUUGACGGAAACAAUCAUAUCAAACAGGGAGAAGGAUGCCAAGCUUUGGAUGCUAUGGUUGGUUGAUACCCUACCUUCGGCCGACCUAGCACGGGUAUUGGUGACAAUGUGGGCCAUAUGGUGGGCGAGACGCCGCGCCAUCCAUGAAGAUCAGUACCAGAGCCCACUAAGUAUCCAUAUUUUUGUUGAAAAGUUUCUAGCGGAGCUCGAGAUGAUGCCGGACAAGAAACCACGUCCCAAGGACCUACAUACAUGGCUCCCGCCUGAGCACCAUGAUGUUAAAAUGAAUGUUGAUGCAGGCUUUUCGAAGAUUGGAGACCGCGCAGCUGCAGCAGUGAUCUGCAGGGACAAACGAGGAAACUACUUGGAUGUCUCGGCCAUCAUCUAUGAAGGCCGCCUCGACCCAACUAUACUUGAAGCACAGGCGUGUUGCGAGGCCCUCUCUCUCGCCUUGGAUUUGCAGGUUCAAUCCAUAUGUGUGGCCUCAGACUGCUUGGAGGUAGUGCUGAACAUACAAGACGAAGUUCCUUGCCGAUACUUUUCUAUCUUACAAGAUAUCAAGCACGAGAGGAGUCAUUUCCAGGAUGUAAAGUUUCUUCAUGAGAAUAGGAAGCAUAACGGAGAAGCACAUGCUUUAGCAAAGGCAUUUGCCUCUCUUAGCCCCGGGCGCCACGUGUGGCUUAGUAUUUUGCCCGAUAUUAUCUGUAUCCCCACAUGUUUGAACAUUUAA
rnacentral:rRNA from 1 species